GAUGAACGCUAGCUACAGGCUUAACACAUGCAAGUCGAGGGACCGGCGCACGGGUGAGUAACACGUAUCCAACCUGCCCUUUACUCGGGGAUAGCCUUUAGAAAGAAAGAUUAAUAACCGAUGUCAAGGAUGGGGAUGCGUUCGCUUAGGUUGUUGGUGAGGUAACGGCUCACCAAUCCUUCGAUGGAUAGGGGUUCGGAGAGGAAGCCCCACAACAAUUGAACUGAGACACGGACCAAACGCGUAAGGGAGGCUGCAGGUAGGAAUAUUGGUGAAGGGGCGUUAGCCCGAACCAGCCGAGUAGCUUGAAGGAUGAAGGCUUAUGAGUCGUAAACUUCUUUUAUAUAAAAAGAUGUAUUAUAUAAAUAAGGAUCGGCUAACUCCGUGCCAGCAGCCGCGGUAAUUC
rnacentral:rRNA from 1 species